AGACCCGAAACCCGGUGAUCUAGCCAUGGGCAGGUUGAAGGUUGGGUAACACUAACUGGAGGACCGAACCGACUAAUGUUGAAAAAUUAGCGGAUGACCUGUGGCUGGGGGUGAAAGGCCAAUCAAACCGGGAGAUAGCUGGUUCUCCCCGAAAGCUAUUUAGGUAGCGCCUCGUGAAUUCAUCUCCGGGGGUAGAGCACUGUUUCGGCUAGGGGGCCAUCCCGGCUUACCAACCCGAUGCAAACUGCGAAUACCGGAGAAUGUUAUCACGGGAGACACACGGCGGGUGCUAACGUCCGUCGUGAAGAGGGAAACAACCCAGACCGCCAGCUAAGGUCCCAAAGUCAUGGUUAAGUGGGAAACGAUGUGGGAAGGCCCAGACAGCCAGGAUGUUGGCUUAGAAGCAGCCAUCAUUUAAAGAAAGCGUAAUAGCUCACUGGUCGAGUCGGCCUGCGCGGAAGAUGUAACGGGGCUAAACCAUGCACCGAAGCUGCGGCAGCGACGCUGAUGCGUUGUUGGGUAGGGGAGCGUUCUGUAAGCCUGCGAAGGUGGCCUGUGAGGGUUGCUGGAGGUAUCAGAAGUGCGAAUGCUGACAUAAGUAACGAUAAAGCGGGUGAAAAGCCCGCUCGCCGGAAGACCAAGGGUUCCUGUCCAACGUUAAUCGGGGCAGGGUGAGUCGACCCCUAAGGCGAGGCCGAAAGGCGUAGUCGAUGGGAAACGGGUUAAUAUUCCCGUACUUGGUGUUACUGCGAAGGGGGGACGGAGAAGGCUAUGUUGGCCGGGCGACGGUUGUCCCGGUUUAAGCGUGUAGGUGUGUGUUCCAGGUAAAUCCGGUUCACUUUAACACUGAGGCGUGAUGACGAGGCACUACGGUGCUGAAGCAACAAAUGCCCUGCUUCCAGGAAAAGCCUCUAAGCAUCAGGUAACAUCAAAUCGUACCCCAAACCGACACAGGUGGUCAGGUAGAGAAUACCAAGGCGCUUGAGAGAACUCGGGUGAAGGAACUAGGCAAAAUGGUGCC
rnacentral:rRNA from 1 species